rnacentral:rRNA from 1 species
AUUGAACGCUGGCGGCAGGCCUAACACAUGCAAGUCGAGCGUGCGGCGGACGGGUGUGUAAUGUAUGGGGAUUUGCCCGAUAGAGGGGGAUAACUACUGGAAACGGUGGCUAAUACCGCAUAGCUUCGCAUGAACCUAGAUGGGAUUAGGUAGUAGGUGGGGUAAAGGCUAACCUAGGCGACGACCACUAGCUGGUCCGGGAGGGUGAUGGGCCACACUGGGACUGGUACACGGCCCAGACUCCUACGGGAGGCAGCAGUGGGGAAUAUUGCACAAUGGGGGAAAGCCGGAUGCAGACAUGCCGCGUGUAUGAAGAAGGCCUUAGGGUUGUAAAGUACUUUCAGCGGGAAGGCGUUAACCACAGAAGAAGCACCGGCUAACUCCGUGCCAGCAGCCGCGGUAAUUC